AGUGAACGCUGGCGGUAUGCCUAACACAUGCAAGUCGAACGGCAGCACAGUAAGAGCUUGCUCUUACGGGUGGCGAGUGGCGGACGGGUGAGGAAUACAUCGGAAUCUACUUUUUCGUGGGGGAUAACGUAGGGAAACUUACGCUAAUACCGCAUACGACCUACGGGUGAAAGCAGGGGAUCUUCGGACCUUGCGCGAUUGAAUGAGCCGAUGUCGGAUUAGCUAGUUGGCGGGGUAAAGGCCCACCAAGGCGACGAUCCGUAGCUGGUCUGAGAGGAUGAUCAGCCACACUGGAACUGAGACACGGUCCAGACUCCUACGGGAGGCAGCAGUGGGGAAUAUUGGACAAUGGGCGCAAGCCUGAUCCAGCCAUACCGCGUGGGUGAAGAAGGCCUUCGGGUUGUAAAGCCCUUUUGUUGGGAAAGAAAAGCAGCAGGUUAAUACCCCGCUGUUCUGACGGUACCCAAAGAAUAAGCACCGGCUAACUUCGUG
rnacentral:rRNA from 1 species